rnacentral:rRNA from 1 species
GCCUACAGCCACACCACCCUGAAUGUACCUGAUCUUAUCUGAUCGCAGAAGCUAAGCAGGGUCAGGCCUGGCCAGUACUUGGAUGGGAGAACUAUUUAGAGCCACUGGGCAGGUC